rnacentral:rRNA from 1 species
GCAGUCGAACGAGAUCUUCGGAUCUAGUGGCGGACGGGUGAGUAACGCGUGGGAACGUGCCCCUUGGUACGGAAUAGUCCCGGGAAACUGGGUUUAAUACCGUAUAUUCUCUUCGGAGGAAAGAUUUAUCGCCAAGGGAUCGGCCCGCGUUGGAUUAGGUAGUUGGUGGGGUAAUGGCCUACCAAGCCUACGAUCCAUAGCUGGUUUGAGAGGAUGAUCAGCCACACUGGGACUGAGACACGGCCCAGACUCCUACGGGAGGCAGCAGUGGGGAAUCUUAGACAAUGGGGGAAACCCUGAUCUAGCCAUGCCGCGUGAUCGAUGAAGGCCUUAGGGUUGUAAAGAUCUUUCGCUGGGGAAGAUAAUGACGGUACCCAGUAAAGAAGCCCCGGCUAACUCCGUGCCAGCAGCCGCGGUAAUACGGAGGGGGCUAGCGUUGUUCGGAAUUACUGGGCGUAAAGCGCGCGUAGGCGGAUUGGAAAGUUGGGGGUGAAAUCCCGGGGCUCAACCCCGGAACUGCCUCCAAAACUAUCAGUCUGGAGUUCGAGAGAGGUGGAUGGAAUUGCGAGUGUAGAGGUGAAAUUCGUAGAUAUUCGCAGGAACACCAGUGGCGGAAGGCGGCUCACUGGCUCGAUACU